rnacentral:rRNA from 1 species
UACGUAGGGUGCGAGCGUUGUCCGGAAUUAUUGGGCGUAAAGGGCUCGUAGGCGGUCUGUCACGUCGGGAGUGAAAACACGGGGGCUUUAACCCCGUGCCUGCUUCCGAUACGGGGCAGACUAGAGGUAUGCAGGGGAGAACGGAAUUCCUGGUGUAGCGGUGAAAUGCGCAGAUAUCAGGAGGAACACCGGUGGCGGAGGCGGUUCUCUGGGCAUUACCUGACGUGAGGAGCGAAAGUGUGGGGAGCGAACAGG